UUUCAUGUAGCGGACCGACGGGAGCUUGCUCCCUUAGGUCAGCGGCGGACGGGUGAGAAACACGUGGGUAACCUGCCUGUAAGACUGGGAUAACUCCGGGAAACCGGGGCUAAUACCGGAUGCUUGAUUGAACCGCAUGGUUCAAUCAUAAAAGGGGGCUUUUAGCUACCACUUGCAGAUGGACCCGCGGCGCAUUAGCUAGUUGGUGAGGUAACGGCUCACCAAGGCGACGAUGCGUAGCCGACCUGAGAGGGUGAUCGGCCACACUGGGACUGAGACACGGCCCAGACUCCUACGGGAGGCAGCAGUAGGGAAUCUUCCGCAAUGGACGAAAGUCUGACGGAGCAACGCCGCGUGAGUGAUGAAGGUUUUCGGAUCGUAAAACUCUGUUGUUAGGGAAGAACAAGUACCGUUCGAAUAGGGCGGCACCUUGACGGUACCUAACCAGAAAGCCACGGCUAACUACGUGCCAGCAGCCGCGGUAAUACGUAGGUGGCAAGCGUUGUCCGGAAUUAUUGGGCGUAAAGCGCGCGCAGGCGGUUUCUUAAGUCUGAUGUGAAAGCCCCCGGCUCAACCGGGGAGGGUCAUUGGAAACUGGGGAACUUGUGUGCAGAAGAGGAGAGUGGAAUUCCACGUGUAGCGGUGAAAUGCGUAGAGAUGUGGAGGAACACCAGUGGCGAAGGCGACUCUCUGGUCUGUAACUGACGCUGAGGCGCGAAGCGUGGGGAGCGAAAGGAUUAGAUACCCUGGUAGUCCACGCCGUAAAACGAUGAAUGGCUAAUGUUAGAGG
rnacentral:rRNA from 1 species